rnacentral:rRNA from 1 species
CACGUAGGGUACGAGCGUUGUCCGGAUUCAUUGGGCUUAAAGCGCGCGUAGGCGGCUCGGAAAGUCGGUCGUGAAAUGCCGGGGCUCAACCCCGGGACUGCGUCCGAUACUCCCGAGCUGGAGGCAGGUAGGGGAGAUCGGAAUUCCUGGUGUAGCGGUGAAAUGCGCAGAUAUCAGGAGGAACACCGGUGGCGAAGGCGGAUCUCUGGGCCUUGCCUGACGCUGAGGCGCGAAAGCUAGUGGAGCGAACAGG